rnacentral:tRNA from 3 species
GGGGAAUUAGCUCAGUUGGCUAGAGCGCCUGCCUUGCACGCAGGAGGUCAUCGGUUCGACUCCGAUAUUCUCCA